UGCUGGCUCUGUGAGGCUCUACUAAAUGCUAAUGCUUCAGUAUAUAGUGCUAAAUGCUAACCCAGCUGCUAACUAUACCUGGUACAAGAAGUAUGAAGACUCACCACCCCUUACUUCAAACAUGAAGAGGACGUCGUAAAUCCUCAGGUAAGUUUUACUCAUUCACCAACACACAUGCCCAUUUGCAGAUUUUACCAUAGCCACAAUCAUCCAGUUUGACAGCUAAGCGCAGCUUACUGUGGCUUCUUGCACCACAUACCAUUGUCAACAGGUCAACAUUAAUCAACACUCGCAUUGAUUGAAUACAAAAGUGAUUAAAAAACCAAGAGUCAUUAUUUAGAAUGCGUCUCUGAAUAUGUCUCUAAUCGACCAAAACAUCUUAAAAUUCCCUAAAUAAUUGUCUGUGUUUCUGUUAGAUGACUGCUUCAAAAUCAGCGAGGAGGGUCCAACUGCGGACUUCACGCCUGGGAACCCCAAAGAUACUGUAUAUACAUGUGUAUCUAUAUCUAUGGGGUGACCCCAGGUCUGCGAGCCAAUGGGAAGACAGUAGGGUCCCCAUAAGCGAGAUGCGUCUCUUUCUUUAGGAUCCAGAUCUCCAGCUGCAGGUGAGAAGAUGGUAUUCUACCCGGGCUGAGCUGUUUUGUCACAGCAGCUGUCAUCUACCUGAAUGUCCUUCCUUCAUCUGGCACAAGAAUGGACAGCAAAUUGAGGCGGAGACAUCUUCUUCAUAUCCAGACUACUUUGAUCCUGCAGAGACAGCUAUUCCCCUGCUGUAAAAAAAUAUGAGGAUUUCCCCUCGCCUUCAGUGUAUGCUCCACAAUUUUGUGAGUCCCUCGGGUGAAAUCAUGGAGGACAGUUGAUCACGGGGCUGACACAUAGAGACAGAACAGACACCAUUCACGCUCUCAUUCACACCUACAG